CCUACGGGUGGCAGCAGUGGGGAAUAUUGCGCAAUGGGCGAAAGCCUGACGCAGCGACGCCGCGUGAGGGAUGAAGGUCUUCGGAUCGUAAACCUCUGUCAGCAGGGAAGAACGGUCACUGUGCUAAUCAGCAGUGAAUUGACGGUACCUGCAAAGGAAGCACCGGCUAACUCCGUGCCAGCAGCCGCGGUAAUACGGAGGAUGCGAGCGUUAUCCGGAUUUAUUGGGUUUAAAGGGUGCGUAGGCGGACGCUUAAGUCAGCGGUAAAAUUUCGGGGCUCAACCUCGUCGAGCCGUUGAAACUGGGUGCCUUGAGUGGGCGAGAAGUACGCGGAAUGCGUGGUGUAGCGGUGAAAUGCAUAGAUAUCACGCAGAACUCCGAUUGCGAAGGCAGCGUACCGGCGCCCAACUGACGCUGAAGCACGAAGGCGUGGGUAUCGAACAGGAUUAGAUACCCCUGUAGUC
rnacentral:rRNA from 1 species